AUGGCCUAUCGGAAUUCCAAGACUGGCGGCCCAGUAGGGACCUCCCAGCUGGCGUCCGUGGGGCUUCACAUUCCCAGGCCACGUUGCCUGACUCCUGCCAGUCAGGGCGCUGCAUUAAAACGUGUUCCAGGGCCUCAUCCCAACUGGGACGCCUCUUCCUCGCUGACACCAUGCUCACGGGUGCGCGCGUUUGUGUCCCGGUUUCGCAUCAGCAGCCCCAGGGCGGGCCUGGCGGGGUGUCCCCUCACCCUGAGCCCGAGCCCGGGUAGGCUGCGCCCUCGCCCCUCCUCCCCGUACUUCCUCCCACCGUGUCCCCGACAGCGUCUGCUUGGCCGUCCCGGUCCCGAAUCAUUCUGGAUCGCAGAAAUCCCCCUGUGGGCGUCUAGAGGGCCAGCGUGGCCCUGUCGGGUGCGCGGAAAAACCGCUGAGGGUGGAAGCCGCUCCUCGGCGCAGGCGCCUCCGCCUCUGCCGCCCCCUAGUGCCCGCGCCGAGACCGCGCGCGAACCCCACCGGCUGGAGCCAAACCCACAGAGGUCGCCCCCAGAACACCAAGAGGACUUUCCCAAAGGUCACGUUUGGUCAGAUGCUCUGAGCUCCGAGGGCUUUUCUUCAUGGAAACAAUGCUGUACAGUCACUUGAAUAACAUUUAUAUACAGCGGCUAAGUCC
rnacentral:lncRNA from 1 species